CCUUUCGUAGCUCAAUGGUCGAGCGUCGGUAUGUGGCACCGAUGAUCCCGGUUCGACUCCGGGCGGAGGGA
rnacentral:tRNA from 1 species